CGGAAGCGUGCUGGGCCCAUAAC
rnacentral:piRNA from 4 species